GUUUAGCCCUGAUUGCAACGACAUCCUUUUUUGAGGAACGAAAAAAAGAUAUAGUGAAAAGCAGGAAAUAGC
rnacentral:sRNA from 1 species